AACGAACGCUGGCGGCAUGCCUAACACAUGCAAGUCGAACGAAGCCUUCGGGCUUAGUGGCGCACGGGUGCGUAACGCGUGGGAAUCUGCCUUGGUUCGGAAUAACAGUUAGAAAUGACUGCUAAUACCGAAUGAUGUCUUCGGACCAAAGAUUUAUCGCCCAAGGAUGAGCCCGCGUCGGAUUAGCUAGUUGGUGAGGUAAAGGCUCACCAAGGCGACGAUCCGUAGCUGGUCUGAGAGGAUGAUCAGCCACACUGGGACUGAGACACGGCCCAGACUCCUACGGGAGGCAGCAGUGGGGAAUAUUGGACAAUGGGCGAAGCCUGAUCCAGCAAUGCCGCGUGAGU
rnacentral:rRNA from 1 species